rnacentral:rRNA from 1 species
AAUAGAUACCCAGGUAGUCCACGCCGUAAACGGUGGGCACUAGGUGUGGGCGACAUUCCACGUCGUCCGUGCCGCAGCUAACGCAUUAAGUGCCCCGCCUGGGGAGUACGGCCGCAAGGCUAAAACUCAAAGGAAUUGGCGGGGGCCCGCACAAGCGGCGGAGCAUGUGGCUUAAUUCGACGCAACGCGAAGAACCUUACCAAGGCUUGACAUACACGGAAACGUCCAGAGAUGGGCGCCCCCUUGUGGUCGGUGUACAGGUGGUGCAUGGCUGUCGUCAGCUCGUGUCGUGAGAUGUUGGGUUAAGUCCCGCAACGAGCGCAACCCUUGUCCCGUGUUGCCAGCAGGCCCUUGUGGUGCUGGGGACUCACGGGAGACCGCCGGGGUCAACUCGGAGGAAGGUGGGGACGACGUCAAGUCAUCAUGCCCCUUAUGUCUUGGGCUGCACACGUGCUACAUGGCCGGUACAAUGAGCUGCGAUACCGCGAGGUGAGCGAAUCUCAGAAAGCCGGUNUCAGUUCGGAUUGGGGU